ACCUGCGGAAGGGAUCAUA
rnacentral:rRNA from 1 species